UACGGAGGGUGCAAGCGUUGUCCGGAUUUAUUGGGCGUAAAGAGCUUGUAGGCGGCUUGUCGCGUCUGCUGUGAAAUCCCGGGGCUCAACCUCGGGCUUGCAGUGGGUACGGGCAGGCUAGAGUAUGGUAGGGGAGACUGGAAUUCCUGGUGUAGCGGUGGAAUGCGCAGAUAUCAGGAGGAACACCGAUGGCGAAGGCAGGUCUCUGGGCCAUCACUGACGCUGAGAAGCGAAAGCGUGGGGAGCGAACAGG
rnacentral:rRNA from 1 species